ACCUCCAAUUACCUGCAAAAACGCAAAAAAAUGGACUUUUUUCAUAAAAUCGCAUUUUUCGGGUACUUGUACUAUCGCUGGAACCCUGAAAUUUUAGUAUGUGUUGUAAAACAAAAUUUCGGAUCCUUUAGAUGUUGUUUGAUCUUUUCACCAUGUACAGGGACGCCGCAAAUGAAUUAAACGCGAAAAUUCGAAUUGCUCAGAACCUAUUAAAGUUGGAAGAUUGUAAUUUUACACAAAUACUGGGGUUAUUAAAGUAUUUAAUCCCUGAGAAUAUAAAUGGUCCAGGUGCCACCACUAAAAAGUUAUUAAAUAAAAUGUGAUUUUUAGGUCGGACCUUCAUGGGUAAAGUUCAUUAUUGCUCGCCCUGUAUGGCUUACGAAAAUUUCGGUUAUAUGGCAUAUGAAAGGUAAAGGAUGAAGUUAUUUUUUGAAAAAAAAAAUUUUCCCAAAAUAAGUAUUGUUUGGCAGAAAAUUCCAAAAAACUGAAAAUGCCAGAACUCGUAAAAUAAAUUUUUUACAAAAAAAAGCUCCAAGUAUGUUAAAUCUCUUAUAAAACGAAGUCUUUUCGCCGAAACACUUUUUUUAUAAAAAUUUUUUUUUAGCCUCUGGAGAAGUUUGAAUUUUUUUUUUAGUCACUUUUGUUCGCUUAUAACAACUCACCCUGUAUACCGAUCGGGCCCAAAAAGUAUACAGACAUGAAUUACUAUAAAGUCUUUUAUGCCUAAAAAUUUCAAUUUUUUUGACAGCGUUAAAAUUGAGAUCUCGUGCAAAAAUGAAUUUUGACCCGUUUUUUUACGAAUUUUUGACUUUGAGACAGUACCGCUCCGUUUGGUGGUACCGUAAAAAAAAUUCCUUUACGGAUCCAUCAUUCCCAAUGUAUUGAGAGACCCUAUGCCAAAUUUCAUCGUUUCGCUAGCCAUACAGCCAAAGAUAUGAAUUUUUAUUUCCAAAAAAACACGAUUUUUCGGACCCGAGGUCGCGUGCAUAAUAUAGUCGCAGACGCUCCUAUAUAACAAGUAUAGUCGCUUCGCUCCUAUACUUUUGGUCCGUGGGGACCAGUUUGGAACCUUUAGGUCUUGUCUGUGAAAAGCCAUAAGGGAAUUAAAAAAAAAAAAUCAAAAAUUAUCAGGUGUACUUAGGUGAGUCGGGGAGGCUAACGUUUACCUGCCGAGGAAAGAGAGGACCAGUUGUUGGGGUAUCAUGCUUCAAAGAACCAUAAUUUAUUAUAUAGUCGCGUUGUGUGUCAAAAUACUCUCUUAUAUUUCAAAUAUCUGUUAAAAUAUGUUAAUUGUAUCCUAAAUAAAGCCUGAAUACCAAAUUACAACAAAAUCGGACCAAUAGCAAAAAAGUUACGGUAGUCACAUGACCUAGGCUGACACUCAAAUGUCAGUUAUCUGUUAUAAUUUAUUAGUUGUAUCCUAAAUAAACCAUAAAUACUAAAUUCAGAGAGAAGUUCCCAUAAGGGUCUAUUUCUUGAAAUAGAACAAACAGGGAUUUUACGUCGAUUUGUUUUAAUUUUUCUUUUUAUUUUGAAAUGUAAUAGUAAUAAAAUAUCAAAAGAAUUGAGGAGAAUAAGAAAUAAAAGAAACCAUCAAUGAAUUGAAUCGAAGCUAUAGAAGCCGAGAUAUUAGUAAAAAUGUGGGAAAAAACAAAAGAAAACUGGUUUUUUCCCACGGUAUAAUUUUUUUUUCUUAAAAUAAUUAUUGACAAAUUAUAAUGUAAGCCCUAAGUGGGCAAUUUCAAGUAAAAAAACCCAAGAAAAAAAAAAUUUUUUUUUGCUCCAAAAUCGAAAGGGGUACGGCCAUAAAAAAUUUCGAAAAAACGGUAUUUAUUUUUUUUAAAAUAAACUAUAAGACUAACAACAUUUUGUCUUUUAUAAAAGUUAUGAGAAAUAUUACGAGGUAUCCGUACGUUAAAACGAAUCGGUUCUAGCUAUCAUAAAAUCGGAGAAAAUAAAGAAAAACCAUGAAACAUAAAUAUCGAAUUAUCAAGGGUCCUAUGGAAAAAUUUAAAUUUUUUAUUUAUCUAUCCUAUACUACUUUUAAGUACCUUUCAAAAAGGUUAUUAUCGAUUUGACUCUAAAAUAAACGGAAAACCUAUUUCUUUGCAUUUUUCGAUUUUGAAGCAAAAUCCGGGCUCAAAAUAAGAAUUUUUUCAAAAUAUGCUCCAAAUUGAAAAUUUCUUUUUUCUGGUUAAAAACCAUUCAAAAACUAACGAAAAAGCUUUAUGAUAAAAUUUUCCACGAUUUAUACGAGUGCCAUAAUAUAAAGGAAAAAAUAAGGUCCCAUAAGAGCCUAUGUAUAGGGAUAACACAACCGGGUUUUUACGUCGAUUUUUUUAAUUUUUCAGUUUUAUUUCGAAAGGCAAUUGUAAUAAAAUAUAAAAAGAACUAACAGGAGAAGAAUAAGGAAUAAUAGAAACCAUCAACGAAUUGAAUCGAAGCUAUAGAAGCCGAGAUAUUAGUAAAAAUGUGAAAAAAAAUAAAAGAAAGCUCGUUUUUUCCCACGGUACCAUUUUUUUUUGUUAAAAUUAUAAUCGACAAAUCAUAAUGUAAGCCCUAUGAUGGCAAUUUCAAGUAAAAAAAACCCAAGAAAAAAAAAUUUUUUUUUGCUCCAAAUUCGAAAGGGGUAUAGCCAUGAAAAAUUGUGAAAAAAUGGUUUUUAUUUUUUUCUAAAUAAACUAUAACUCUGACAACUUUUUGUCUUAAACAAAAGUUCUAGGGAAUGUUACGAGGUAUUCGAAUGUUAAAACUAAUUGAUUAUAGCUAUCACAGAUUUGGAGAAAAUUGUAAAAAACUAUUAAUCAUAAAUAUCGAAUUAUCAAGAGCCCUAUGGAAAAAUUUCAACUUUUUAUUUUUCUAUCUUGUAUUACUUCAGGAUACCUUUCAAAAAGGUUAUUAUCGAUUUGACUCUAAAAUGAACAGAAAACCUAUUUAUUUGCAUUUAUCGAUUUUCAAACAAAAUCCGGCCCAAAAUGAAAAUUUUUCAAAACAUGCUCCAAAUUCAAAAUUUCUUUUUUCUGGC
rnacentral:lncRNA from 1 species